rnacentral:tRNA from 1 species
CUACGUAGCUCAGCUGGUUAGAGCACAGCACUCAUAAUGCUGGGGUCACAGGUUCGAAUCCCGUCGUAGCC